AUACGUAGGUGGCAAGCGUUGUCCGGAAUUAUUGGGCGUAAAGCGCGCGCAGGUGGUUCCUUAAGUCUGAUGUGAGAGCCCCCGGCUCAACCGGGGAGGGUCAUUGGAAACUGGGGAACUUGAGUGCAGAAGAGGAUAGUGGAAUUCCAAGUGUAGCGGUGAAAUGCGUAGAGAUUUGGAGGAACACCAGUGGCGAAGGCGACUGUCUGGUCUGUAACUGACACUGAGGCGCGAAAGCGUGGGGAGCAAACAGGAUUAGAUACCCUGGUAGUCCACGCCGUAAACGAUGAGUGCUAAGUGUUGGGGGGUUUCCGCCCCUCAGUGCUGCCGCUAACGCAUUAAGCACUCCGCCUGGGGAGUACGGUCGCAAGACUGAAACUCAAAUGAAUUGACGGGG
rnacentral:rRNA from 1 species